rnacentral:rRNA from 1 species
AACGAACGCUGGCGGCAUGCCUAACACAUGCAAGUCGAACGAGACCUUCGGGUCUAGUGGCGCACGGGUGCGUAACGCGUGGGAACCUGCCCUUAGGUUCGGAAUAACACCCCGAAAGGGGUGCUAAUACCGGAUAAUGUCUUCGGACCAAAGAUUUAUCGCCUUUGGAUGGGCCCGCGUUGGAUUAGCUAGUUGGUAGGGUAAAAGCCUACCAAGGCGACGAUCCAUAGCUGGUCUGAGAGGAUGAUCAGCCACACUGGGACUGAGACACGGCCCAGACUCCUACGGGAGGCAGCAGUGGGGAAUAUUGGACAAUGGGCGAAAGCCUGAUCCAGCAAUGCCGCGUGAGUGAUGAAGGCCUUAGGGUCGUAAAGCUCUUUUACCCGGGAUGAUAAUGACAGUACCGGGAGAAUAAGCUCCGGCUAACUCCGUG